rnacentral:rRNA from 1 species
ACGGGAGGCAGCAGCGGGGAAUAUUGCGCAAUGGGCGAAAGCCUGACGCAGCAACGCCGCGUGAGGGAUGAAGGCUUUCGGGUUGUAAACCUCUUUCAGCAGGGACGAUUGUGACGGUACCUGCAGAAGAAGCCCCGGCCAACUACGUGCCAGCAGCCGCGGUAACACGUAGGGGGCGAGCGUUGUCCGGAUUUAUUGGGCGUAAAGAGCUCGUAGGUGGUUCGGUAAGUCGGGUGUGAAAACUCUGGGCUCAACUCAGAGACGCCACCUGAUACUGCCGUGACUGGAGUCUGGUAGGGGAGUGUGGAAUUCCCGGUGUAGCGGUGAAAUGCGCAGAUAUCGGGAGGAACACCAGUGGCGAAGGCGGCACUCUGGGCCAGUACUGACACUGAGGAGCGAAAGCGUGGGUAGCGAACAGGAUUAGAUACCCUGGUA